CAGCUGCAGCAGCAGCAUCGUCAUGAUGAGUCUUGAGGUACCACGGUGCCAAAUCGACCAAUCACCGCUGGGAUAGAAACUAGAAUCUAUUCUGAAUCCGACAAUGUAAACGGCUCGUCCGAGGUGCGUUUCUGGGCCGGCCCAUAAAUUUCCAA